rnacentral:lncRNA from 1 species
GCAUUUGCUUUCAGCCGCAGAGAGAAGAAGCUGCCCAAGAAUGGAAAGGAAGAAAUAUAUCACAUCAUCUGUCUGUCCACAGGCUUUCCUUGGGGCUUAUGAAGUGAAUGAAGGAGGGAAGAAAGGAGAGACAGAGAAAAUAUGGAUUUCCUCAUGGUUGUGAUUCCUCUUCACUCUUUUGAAUUUGGAAGGAUGGCAUACACAUCUGAAAAAUACCACUACUUCCUUCAUUGGACUGCAAGGUAUUUCUGUUUGGAAAAGUAAUGGAGUCCAGUCAACUUCAUUGAUCGCCAAGGACUGUCAAAAUUAUAAAACUUGCUGUGGAGCUCUGACAUGCCAGAAGCCGCUAGAAAAAGAAGUUUGACAUUCAGAAACUUAUCAAGAGGUUCUACUCUUUGGAUAGAGACCAAAAUCAUACUUUGAAGUAAGUAGUAAUUUCCAAUAUUAGCCCAUUGGGUGAGCUAAAAAUGCCUUAGUUAGAUUUGCCAGAAUUAGAGAUUACAUUUGUUAGAAUUAGGGGUUCACUAAUUAGAUGCCCUAGGCACUAGCCAUAUGUACUAUUGGUAUUAUUAUGAAUCUUUAGGAAUUUAAUUCUUUCUUUGCCUUUUUUACUCUGAAUUCCUAAAUCAUUGUUUGAAAGAGUAUUUUGACCAAUGCCCAGUUUAUAAGGGUUCUGGGGCAUUUUUGCUUCUUGUAUGAGUUCAGUGGAGUGUUAGUUGGCUAACUAAUUACAAGGGACUAAAAAUAAACCAUGGUUUAUUAUUUUCCAAUUUUGAAUUACAAAAUUAUUUAAAUGUCUGUAAUCGAAGUGCUACAUUACUAUGUAAUGAAAUUACAAUACAGCUUAAUGAUAUUAGGAAACUGCAUGCAAAAAAAUAUUUGUACACAAGGUGGUGAUGUUAGCAACCAACUACAGUACUUUUAUUCUGCUAAAAAACACAAUAAAUAACAACAGAUUACUUUCCCCAAGUGAUCCCCAAAGGGCAUCUUUAGUUGUUCAUAUAAUGAUAGCAUGUAAGGGCACAGAGCCACAUGGAAAACCUGUCAGCAUAUGUCAUUAGAGUAGCA